CCUANGGGAGGCAGCAAUUAGGAAUCUUGCGCAAUGGGCGAAAGCCUGACGCAGCGACGCCGCGUGACUGAUGAAGUCUUUCGGGAUGUAAAGGUCUUUUUUGGGGGAAGAAGGAUGUGACGGUACCCCAAGAAUAAGCCCCGGCUAACUACGUGCCAGCAGCCGCGGUAAUACGUAGGGGGCGAGCGUUGUCCGAAUUCACUGGGCGUAAAGCGCGCGUAGGCGGACUCUUAAGUUGGGGGUGAAAUCCCGAGGCUCAACCUCGGAACUGCCUUCAAAACUGGGAGUCUUGAGGUAUGGAGAGGGAACUGGAAUUCCUGGUGUAGCGGUGAAAUGCGUAGAUAUCAGGAGGAACACCCAUGGCGAAGGCAGGUUCCUGGCCAUAUCCUGACGCUGAGGUGCGAAAGCUAGGGGAGCGAACGGGAUUAGAUACCCUANUANUC
rnacentral:rRNA from 1 species